AUCGAACGCUGGCGGCAGGCCUAACACAUGCAAGUCGAGCGGAGCGGCGGACGGGUGAGUAAUGCCUAGGAAUCUGCCUGGUCGUGGGGGAUAACGUCCGGAAACGGGCGCUAAUACCGCAUACUAUCAGAUAAGCCUAGGUCGGAUUAGCUAGAUGGUGGGGUAAAGGCCUAACAAGGCGACGGUCCGUAACUGGUCUGAGAGGAUGAUCAGUCACACUGGAACUGAGACAAGGUCCAAACUCCUACGGGAGGCAGCAGUGGGGAAUAUUGGACAAUGGGCGAAAGCCUGAUCCAGCCAUGCCGCGGGUGUGAAGAAGGUCUUCGGAUUGUAAAGCACUUUUAGUUGGGAGGCGUUACCAACAGAAUAAGCACCGGCUAACUUCGUGCCAGCAGCCGCGGUAAUAC
rnacentral:rRNA from 1 species